GAAGCCUACCAGCUAGCCCUACGAAAUAAAAACAACUUAAAUCAUUAAAUACCCCCUAAUACACUAAAUUAGAUUAAACAAAUCAUUUUUCCCCCUAAGUAUAGGCGAUAAAAAAGGACCUCUCUGGAGCAAUAGAAAAAGUACCGCAAGGGACCGCUGAAAAAGAAAUGAAAUUCCAAUAAAGCCUUAAGAAGCAGAGAUUAUAGCUCGUACCUUUUGCAUCAUGAUUUAGCCAGUGUUAAUUAAGCGAAACGCAUUUCAGUUUAACACCCGAAACUAAGUGAGCUACUCCGAGACAGCCUAUAAAUAGGGCUAACCCAUCUCUGUUGCAGAAGAGUGGGAGGAACUUCGAGUAGAGGCGACACACCUACCGAACUUAGUUAUAGCUGGUUGCCUAAGAUUUGAAUAAAAGUUCAGCCCCUUAGCUUCUUCAUCCACACAGGUCCGACCCCUCCUCCCCUGUUGAUACAUAGAAACUUAGAGAGUAAUUCAAAGGAGGUACAGCUCCUUUGAACAAUGAUACAACUUUAACAGAAGGAUAAAGAUCCUA
rnacentral:rRNA from 1 species